UACGAGGGGGGCAAGUGUUGUUCGGAAUCACUGGGCGUAAAGGGAGCGUAGGCGGAUGUUUAAGUUGGAUGUUUAAAACCGGGGCCUAACCUCGGAGCGGCAUCCAGAACUGGGCAUCUUGAAUAGGUCAGAGGCUGGUGGAAUUGGAGGUGUAGCGGUGGAAUGCGUAGAGAUCUCCAAGAACACCUAUUGCGAAGGCAGCCAGCUGGGACCAUAUUGACGCUGAGGCUCGAAAGCAUGGGGAGCAAACAGG
rnacentral:rRNA from 1 species